GGGGGUGCAAUGGUUUCGACGGGGACUUUGAAGUCCGGGAAGCGGGUAGAGCUGAGCAACUCUUUAAACGGUUCGCCUAAAUUUAAACGCAGAUAAAACUGCUCUCGCCGCUUGACGCGGUGAUGCGGUCCUGAGGGGCCGCCCGUCUCGCUCCGGAGUAUCGCGGCCGGGGAUGCAGGCGUCGAUCAGCGAUGAACGUGAACGGUCGGUUAGCCUUUGGAGCCGUCACGCAUAAAAAGGAUACCCGUAGCCGAAGAACGCCGGUUUUCGUCGGAUUUCGGGGAAUUUUAAAUAUCCGGCUGCACCCGGAGACGCCCUGACAGAAGGGUUUUCGGACGGGGGUUCGAUUCCCCCCACCUCCACCA
rnacentral:tmRNA from 1 species